rnacentral:ncRNA from 2 species
AAUAAUUCCCACGGGAGCGCCCACCGAACCGGCGCUGAGAGGGCAUCGGGAAUGCGGAUGCCGACCGUUCGAACCUGUCCGGGUAAUGCCGGCGUAGGAAAGGACCGCGAUGGCGAA